CCCUACGGGGCGCAGCAGGCGCGAAAACUUCGCAAUGUGCGCAAGCGCGACGAGGGGAUUCCAAGUGCAUGCACUUAGUGUAUGCUGUUUUCCAGUCUAAAUAGCUGGGAGAGUAAGGGCUGGGUAAGACUGGUGCCAGCCGCCGCGGUAAUACCAGCGGCCCUAGUGGUGAUCGUUAUUAUUGGGCCUAAAGCGUCCGUAGCCGGCUCGGUAAAUCUCUGGGUAAAUCGAUAGGCUUAACUUAUCGAAUUCUGGGGAGACUGCCGGGCUUGGGAUCGGGAGAGGUCGGAGGUACUCCAGGGGUAGGGGUGAAAUCCUGUAAUCCA
rnacentral:rRNA from 1 species